GCAUAUCAAUAAGCGGAGGAAAAGAAACCAACAGGGAUUGCCUCAGUAACGGCGAGUGAAGCGGCAACAGCUCAAAUUUGAAAUCUGGCCUCCUUGCGGGGUCCGAGUUGUAAUUUGCAGAGGAUGCUUCGGGUGCGGCCGCGGCGUAAGUCCCCUGGAACGGGGCGUCGCAGAGGGUGAGAAUCCCGUCUUGAGUCGCUGGACCCGCGCCCGUGUGAAGCUCCUUCGACGAGUCGAGUUGUUUGGGAAUGCAGCUCUAAAUGGGUGGUAAAUUUCAUCUAAAGCUAAAUACUGGCUGGAGACCGAUAGCGCACAAGUAGAGUGAUCGAAAGGUUAAAAGCACCUUGAAAAGGGAGUUAAAUAGCACGUGAAAUUGUUGAAAGGGAAGCGCUUGCGACCAGACUCGGCCGCGGAGGCUCAGCGGGCAUUCGUGCCCGUGCACUCCCCCGCGGCCGGGCCAGCAUCAGCUCUGGCAGCCGGUCAAAGGCCCCUGGAAUGUGUCGCCCUCCGGGGCGUCUUAUAGCCAGGGGUGCAAUGCGGCUCGCCGGGGCUGAGGAACGCGCUUCGGCUCGGAUGCUGGCGUAAUGGUCGUAAGCGACCCGUCUUGAAACACGGACC
rnacentral:rRNA from 2 species